rnacentral:sRNA from 1 species
UGGGACCAAGGGCACUAAUGUCGACUUCUCCACGUCAGUGAUAUGCAAGAGAAACUUGACCUACAUCGAUCUCUUGUGAAGGUUUUCGGGCCGCGAUCAGAUCGUAUAAAUUUCCCAUUCGCUCUUCGUGUGGAGUCUGCAACCGGACCGAGAUAGGGAUUGGUGGAAAAUUUAGCGAGAGGAUUAUUCGAACAUGAGGCGUCCUCCCAUUUCCAAAUCCAGUGGUCUGCCUCGCGGCCGCCGCUCUCUGGCUGUUGAGAUAUGAUCGUUACUCUCGUACAGGCGUUGUGAGAAGCGGCGUGCAUAUCUGAACGUCUACUUGAGUGGGCAUAUUUGGAGCUUCAUGGUCGUUGUCCUAUCUUCCGUCACAAAUAACCGGGGGAACAAAACGGGGCUUGAACUGACAUUCUUCGUCGAUGAUGAAAUACAUGCAUCCAGCGACCGAAACGAAGAAAUCGCUUGAGACAUCCGACGAUUGGAAACUCCCAGCUCUCGUCAACCUAAGUCAAGACAUUUCAACACUCGUUCGUGUUAUUCUACCAGCUUGACGUAUAUGAUGCUCCAAUUCUUGCACACUAGAGUGACAGGCUGAUAUCACCCCAUGCUGCAG